CGGGACACGUGGUAUCCUGUCUGAAUAUGGGGGGACCAUCCUCCAAGGCUAAAUACUCCUGACUGACCGAUAGUGAACCAGUACCGUGAGGGAAAGGCGAAAAGAACCCCGGCGAGGGGAGUGAAAAAGAACCUGAAACCGUGUACGUACAAGCAGUGGGAGCACGCUUAGGCGUGUGACUGCGUACCUUUUGUAUAAUGGGUCAGCGACUUAUAUUCUGUAGCAAGGUUAACCGAAUAGGGGAGCCGAAGGGAAACCGAGUCUUAACUGGGCGUUAAGUUGCAGGGUAUAGACCCGAAACCCGGUGAUCUAGCCAUGGGCAGGUUGAAGGUUGGGUAACACUAACUGGAGGACCGAACCGACUAAUGUUGAAAAAUUAGCGGAUGACUUGUGGCUGGGGGUGAAAGGCCAAUCAAACCGGGAGAUAGCUGGUUCUCCCCGAAAGCUAUUUAGGUAGCGCCUCGUGAAUUCAUCUCCGGGGGUAGAGCACUGUUUCGGCAAGGGGGUCAUCCCGACUUACCAACCCGAUGCAAACUGCGAAUACCGGAGAAUGUUAUCACGGGAGACACACGGCGGGUGCUAACGUCCGUCGUGAAGAGGGAAACAACCCAGACCGCCAGCUAAGGUCCCAAAGUCAUGGUUAAGUGGGAAACGAUGUGGGAAGGCCCAGACAGCCAGGAUGUUGGCUUAGAAGCAGCCAUCAUUUAAAGAAAGCGUAAUAGCUCACUGGUCGAGUCGGCCUGCGCGGAAGAUGUAACGGGGCUAAACCAUGCACCGAAGCUGCGGCAGCGACGCUUAUGCGUUGUUGGGUAGGGGAGCGUUCUGUAAGCCUGUGAAGGUGUGCUGUGAGGCAUGCUGGAGGUAUCAGAAGUGCGAAUGCUGACAUAAGUAACGAUAAAGCGGGUGAAAAGCCCGCUCGCCGGAAGACCAAGGGUUCCUGUCCAACGUUAAUCGGGGCAGGGUGAGUCGACCCCUAAGGCGAGGCCGAAAGGCGUAGUCGAUGGGAAACAGGUUAAUAUUCCUGUACUUGGUGUUACUGCGAAGGGGGGACGGAGAAGGCUAUGUUGGCCGGGCGACGGUUGUCCCGGUUUAAGCGUGUAGGCUGGUUUUCCAGGCAAAUCCGGAAAAUCAAGGCUGAGGCGUGAUGACGAGGCACUACGGUGCUGAAGCAACAAAUGCCCUGCUUCCAGGAAAAGCCUCUAAGCAUCAGGUAACAUCAAAUCGUACCCCAAACCGACACAGGUGGUCAGGUAGAGAAUACCAAGGCGCUUGAGAGAACUCGGGUGAAGGAACUAGGCAAAAUGGUGCCGUAACUUCGGGAGAAGGCACGCUGAUAUGUAGGUGAAGUCCCUCGCGGAUGGAGCUGAAAUCAGUCGAAGAUACCAGCUGGCUGCAACUGUUUAUUAAAAACACAGCACUGUGCAAACACGAAAGUGGACGUAUACGGUGUGACGCCUGCCCGGUGCCGGAAGGUUAAUUGAUGGGGUCAGCGCAAGCGAAGCUCUUGAUCGAAGCCCCGGUAAACGGCGGCCGUAACUAUAACGGUCCUAAGGUAGCGAAAUUCCUUGUCGGGUAAGUUCCGACCUGCACGAAUGGCGUAAUGAUGGCCAGGCUGUCUCCACCCGAGACUCAGUGAAAUUGAACUCGCUGUGAAGAUGCAGUGUACCCGCGGCAAGACGGAAAGACCCCGUGAACCUUUACUAUAGCUUGACACUGAACAUUGAGCCUUGAUGUGUAGGAUAGGUGGGAGGCUUAGAAGUGUGGACGCCAGUCUGCAUGGAGCCGACCUUGAAAUACCACCCUUUAAUGUUUGAUGUUCUAACGUUGACCCGUAAUCCGGGUUGCGGACAGUGUCUGGUGGGUAGUUUGACUGGGGCGGUCUCCUCCUAAAGAGUAACGGAGGAGCACGAAGGUUGGCUAAUCCUGGUCGGACAUCAGGAGGUUAGUGCAAUGGCAUAAGCCAGCUUGACUGCGAGCGUGACGGCGCGAGCAGGUGCGAAAGCAGGUCAUAGUGAUCCGGUGGUUCUGAAUGGAAGGGCCAUCGCUCAACGGAUAAAAGGUACUCCGGGGAUAACAGGCUGAUACCGCCCAAGAGUUCAUAUCGACGGCGGUGUUUGGCACCUCGAUGUCGGCUCAUCACAUCCUGGGGCUGAAGUAGGUCCCAAGGGUAUGGCUGUUCGCCAUUUAAAGUGGUACGCGAGCUGGGUUUAGAACGUCGUGAGACAGUUCGGUCCCUAU
rnacentral:rRNA from 1 species